rnacentral:tRNA from 1 species
GCGAGAUUGGCUUACCGGCCUUCUAAGCCGGGGUUGUGAGUUCGAGUCUCGCCGGGCGCGCCA